rnacentral:rRNA from 1 species
AGUGAACGCUGGCGGCGUGCCUAAUACAUGCAAGUCGAACGGAGAUUAAGUAGCUUGCUAUUUAAUCUUAGUGGCGCACGGGUGAGUAAUAUAUAGCUAACUUGCCCAUUACUAAGGGACAACAGUUGGAAACGACUGCUAAUACCUUAUACUCCGUAUCUAUAUAAGUAGAUACGGGAAAGUUUUUCGGUAAUGGAUAGGGCUAUAUCGUAUCAGCUAGUUGGUAAGGUAAUGGCUUACCAAGGCUGUGACGCGUAACUGGUCUGAGAGGAUGAUCAGUCACACUGGAACUGAGACACGGUCCAGACUCCUACGGGAGGCAGCAGUAGGGAAUAUUGCUCAAUGGGGGAAACCCUGAAGCAGCAACGCCGCGUGGAGGAUGACACUUUUCGGAGCGUAAACUCCUUUUCUUGGGAAAGAAUUAUGACGGUACCCAAGGAAUAAGCACCGGCUAACUCCGUG